rnacentral:misc_RNA from 1 species
GGAAGUAAAAGUCGAACAAGGUUUCCGUAGGUGAACCUGCGAAAGGAUCAUUAUUGUAUAACCGAGGUGCGAGGGCUGUCGCUGACCCGAAAGGUCGUGCACGCCCGAGUGCCCUCACACACAUCCAUCUCACCCCUAUGUGCACCACCGCGUGGGUCCCCCUUUGGCUUGUUCGGAGGGGGGCUUACGUUUUCACACAAACUUUGUAUGCAGUGUAGAAUGUAUUUUUUGUUUUUGCGAUCACGCAAUCAAUACAACUUUCAACAACGGAUCUCUUGGCUCUC